AGUCAUACGCUCGUCUCAAAGAUUAAGCCAUGCAUGUGUAAGUAUAAAUAUUUAACUUUGAAACUGCGAAUGGCUCAUUAUAUCAGUUAUAGUUUAUUUGAUGAAAAGUACUACUUGGAUAACCGUAGUAAUUCUAGAGCUAAUACAUGAUAAAAUCCUCGACUUUGAAGAGGUGUAUUUAUUAGAAUGAAACCAAUAGACUUCGGUCUGUUUGUGAGUAAUAAUAACUAAUCGUAUCGCGUGCUUAGGUAGCGAUAUGUCUUUCAAGUUUCUGCCCUAUCAGCUUUGGAUGGUAGUGUAUUGGACUACCAUGGCAGUAACGGGUAACGAAGAAUUUGGGUUCGAUUUCGGAGAGGGAGCCUGAGAGAUGGCUACCACAUCCAAGGAAGGCAGCAGGCGCGUAAAUUACCCAAUCCUGACAUAGGGAGGUAGUGACAAUAAAUCACAAUGCGGAACUAUUAGUUUUGCAAUUGGAUUGAGAACAAUGUACAAAUGUUAUCGAUAAACAAUUGGAGGGCAAGUCUGGUGCCAGCAGCCGCGGUAAUUCCAGCUCCAAUAGCGUAUAUUAA
rnacentral:rRNA from 1 species